rnacentral:lncRNA from 1 species
CUAUCUUAUAUUUUCCAGUGACAUCUUCUCAACAUUUCCAUCAAAAAAAACCAAUUGAGCCAUUCCAACCCAUAUUCUAAAUUCAAAAAGGUCCAAACCUUUAACCAAUAGCAAAUAUAUAAAACGACCAUUCAUUCUAAAUUUCAAUUGAAAAAAAGACUCACACACACACAGAGAGUUAAGCAAACACGAAAAAUUAAUAAAAACAAUACAAAAAACAUAAGAGAUUCACAAAUCACAAUUACAAAAAAAUAAAAAUACUAGCUUUACCUUUCGCUUCAAGAUUUUGGCAUGGCAUAUCUUGAUAUUGUGAAGUAAAUGGUGGCGCACAUGCUUAGAAAGCAAUUUGUCACUUAUUUUGGGUUUGCACUCAGCCAAUCUAACACAUCAUUAGACUUGAUUACCUCAAUUGUGUCAAGUGAUUCCAGCCAAGAAUGAACAGGCUUCCAUUCACCUCCCUCCAAGCCACUGCUGUUCUCUUCUGCUUCCUCAUUCUGGACAACAGCGGAGGAGGGCCAGGCGGCGGACGGGCGAAGCACGGGAGCAGGAGGAAGGAUUGAAAAAUUGAAAUGGAAAUUGUCAAAUUGAAUGGGGAAUGGGUUAUAAUUAGAAAUGGGUCAUAUGUCAUGG